GGACCUAGAAACAAGAUUAAGAAGAAAAAAGAUAUAUUAAUAAAAAUACAUAGAUUAGGUAAGAGUAUAAAAUACUUACCAUAUGAUAUUCUUAUUUCUAAUUAAAUAUCAAAAAAUCCUAAGUACAUAAAGUAUAUGCUUUAAUACAUCCUAAUAGAUGAUAAGAUGUCAUAGAAUAUAUUUGAUAUAUCCUUUGAUGCAUGUAUAAUUUAAAACAUGAAAAUUAUUGAUAAAGGAAAAAAAAAAAAACUUUAAGUAAUGGAUGUUGGAUGUAGAAA
rnacentral:lncRNA from 1 species